rnacentral:lncRNA from 1 species
AUGGCAACCUGCUCCAGUGUUCUUGCCUGGAGAAUCCCAGGGACGGUGGAGCCUGAUGGGCUGCCGUCUCGGGUCGCACAGAGUUGGACACAACUGAAGCGACUUAGCAGCAGUAGCAGCAGCAGACUCAAAUUUUCAGAAUUUAUGUACUGUGAAUCUCUAAAUGGGAAUAUUAAUUAUUGGGUUUGUUCCUUAUACUUCUUUGGCCACAGAGCAAUCCUAUCUGCAUCUUUUUUUUUUUUUUUUUUUAAGUAACAUCCUCUUAAACCAGUAGUCCAGGAAGUAAGCUAGAUUUACAAUACAUGUAUUCUCUUUUGAUGCAACUGUCACAAUGACCAGCCAUUCCAUCCUUGUCAUACAGCAAGAGUUGGUAUGCACCCAAGCACUUCACAGGAUCUGCUUUGAAGCAGUGGUUAGUGUGAUGCCUACAGGUACGUUAUGUGAUCUCUGCAUCUCCAUGGUAACCUCAUUUCUCCAAGACCACUUCCUCUUGACUGAUCUUUUUUCUGUAAUCUCACUGGUUUCCCUUCUAUUUUUCCCCCUUCUGAGACAUGUUCUCUAUUCAUUAACCAUCACAGGAUUUUAAAAAUCUACAGCAGAGCACGUUACCCACCUUGAAAUAAUUUCCCAUUAUGGCUUCCCAAAAUCUUCACCAGGAGUAUGAGGUUCAAUGAUCAAGUUCUUGCUUUUUUUCCUGGCAUCAUCUAAUACCAACUUUACUUUUGUUUGCAAUGCCACAAUCAACUUGUCCCUUUCUUCUCUUCCUUGAACAUGAGGAGCCUCUCCUAAGCUUAAGGACCUCUGCUCUUGCUGGUGUCUUUCUAUAUCCUUUGUCCCUGAGUCAUCAACUGGCUGAUUAGUUCUUUCCCUUUAGGUCUCUUCCGAUGUCAGCUUCCUAGAAUAUUUUCCUAAUCUGAUCUGUGCUGCAUACCCCUAGUUUACUUUCUUCAAAGUGCAUUACUGAAAUUACUUUUGUUAACUGUUUACCAUCUGUCUCCUCUACAAGGGUUUCAAUUGUGUCAUUUAUUCCUAAAACGUCAGUUCCUAGGAUAAUUUCUGGCACACAGUAGGUAUUCCACAGAUACUUGUUAAAUAAAUGAAUGAAUACAAUGACAACUCUUUCCCUUCUGGGGUUCUCAGCAUAUGGGCACCCUUCCAAAACAGAACAUAGCUUAUUAUGUUUAUAUGUAGCAAAAUAUGUACAUUAAUAUAUACGAAUAUUUUAACAAUUAUUAGGUAUUUUAUGUGUGAAAAGCUAAGCAAGGUUUUGCUAUCAUCUGAAAUAUUUUUCUUUCAAGAAUGAUUAUUAUUUUAAGAACAUCUCAGUUCAAAAGUUAUCAGAAGGUGUUAUUUUGUAAACAAUAGACCAAGAAAGGCAUGAUUCACAGUGCCCUGUCCUGCAGCCCAGGUUACCAAGGUCUCCAUCAACACAUGCCACUCACUCUGCAUGAUCUGAGGCAAGUCGCUUCUUUGCUCUGAGGCUCAACCUCCUCAUUUGCAAAAUGCAAGAGUGGAUGAAAUGAUAGUCAAGCCCCUUUGAAGCCUUUGCAUUCUGAUUGCUAAAGUCAGAGGUUUGAUUAUAAUAUUCAAUCUUCUUUAACUCUCAGCAAUGUACUCUCUUUUGGGGGGCUCUUAGGAAGAAAAUUCUUUUCAUUACAUAUGCAACAUAAAUCAAGAAAUCCCUACAUUAAAAUGGAGAAGUAACAGAAUGUGUAACAGCUUUUUUUCAUUAAUUCUAAUAAUCACUAAGCACCUAGAACCAGGCACUGUUCUGUCCCGUUAGAGCUUUCAUUGUUCUAGUUGAUGAGACAGAGAGUAAACAUUAUACAGAAGUAAAAUAUGCAGUAAAUAGAUGAUGGUGAGUACUAAGGACACAAAAUAGAGCGCAGAAAGUAAAUAAAAAGUGUUUUGAAUGGAUUAAAUUUUUACAUAAAAAGGCCAAAGAAGACGUCACUGAGAUGGUGAUGGCUGAGGAAAGACCUGAAGGGAUAGAAAGUGAGCCAUGCAGACAUCCAGGGAAAGAAAACUUGAGACAGAGGAAAAGGCAAGGAUAAACACCUGGGGUCAGGAACCUCCCUGGUACAUACAAUGAACAGAGAACCAUGUAGAGAUGAAAUCCUGAGGUUGAGGGGUCUUCCUUGAGGAGGCAUUCUAGUCUAAAACCAAGGGGCUGUAAACUGGUACAGCCAUUGUGGAGAAUAGUACGGAGGUUCCUUAAAAAAAUAAAAAUAGAGUUACCAUAUGACCCAAACAUCCCACUACGGGGCAUAUAUCUUGAGGAAAUCAUAACUCAAAAAGACAUAUACCCCAGUGCUUUUUGAAGCACGAUUUACAAUAGCCAAGACAUGGAAGCAACCUCAAUGUCCAACGAUAAAUGAAUUGGUGGGGAAGAUGUAGUACAUGUGCACAGUGGAAUGUUGCUCAGCCAUAAAAAGGAAGUUAAGUCAGUUGAAGUGAUGUGGAU